CAGCCAGACUCCUACGGGAGGCAGCAGUGGGGAAUAUUGCACAAUGGGCGAAAGCCUGAUGCAGCGACGCCGCGUGAAGGAUGAAGUCUUUCGGUAUGUAAACUUCUAUCAGCAGGGAAGAAAAUGACGGUACCUGACUAAGAAGCCCCGGCUAACUACGUGCCAGCAGCCGCGGUAAUACGUAGGGGGCAAGCGUUAUCCGGAUUUACUGGGUGUAAAGGGAGCGUAGACGGCGAUGCAAGCCAGAUGUGAAAGCCCGGGGCUCAACCCCGGGACUGCAUUUGGAACUGUGUGGCUGGAGCGUCGGAGAGGCAGGCGGAAUUCCUAGUGUAGCGGUGAAAUGCGUAGAUAUUAGGAGGAACACCAGUGGCGAAGGCGGCUUACUGGACUGUAACUGACGUUGAGGCUCGAAAGCGUGGGGAGCAAACAGGAUUAGAUACCCGAGUAC
rnacentral:rRNA from 1 species